UUCAAAAAUUUUUCACUUGAUUAUAGGUUUUUCCACUUGAUCGAGACUUUUGACUCAAAGGCUCAUAGGAGGCAGCUUCUUAUCGGGCAUCCAGUUUUCUUUACUGCAGCAUUCAAUUGUAGACUCAAAAAAUGUUUUACACUUUUUAUGUAUUGAAGAGUGCUGAAACUUUGAGAACAGUUGCAUAGACAAAGGCAUUAAGGUUUUCUUCAGAAAAUGAUAAGAAAUAGCAACUCAGCCAACAGCAGAUUUUGGAAAAGUCUAAUGAAACCUGUUGCUGUUUUUACA
rnacentral:lncRNA from 1 species